rnacentral:ncRNA from 1 species
GUUUUGGAGAGUUUGAUUCUGGCUCAGAACGAACGCUGGCAGCGUGGAUUAGGCAUGCAAGUCGAACGGGAAGCUGUUGAUCAAUUCUUCGGGAGAGUGAUACAGUGG